AUACAGAGGGUGCGAGCGUUAAUCGGAAUUACUGGGCGUCAAGCGCGCGUAGGCGGCUUAUUAAGUCAGAUGUGAAAUCCCCGGGCUCAACCUGGGAACUGCAUCUGAUACUGGUAAGCUAGAGUUUUGGAGAGGGAAGUAGAAUUUCAGGUGUAGCGGUGAAAUGCAUAGAGAUCUGAAGGAAAACCAGUGGCGAAGGCGACUUCCUGGCCAAAAACUGACGCUGAGGUGCGAAAGCGUGGGUAGCAAACGGGAUUAGAAACCCUAGUAGUCC
rnacentral:rRNA from 1 species